UACGGGGGGGGCAAGCGUUGUUGCGGAAUUACUGGGCGUAAAGGGCUCGUAGGCGGCCAACUAAGUCAGACGUGAAAUCCCUCGGCUUAACCGGGGAACUGCGUCUGAUACUGGAUGGCUUGAGUUUGGGAGAGGGAUGCGGAAUUCCAGGUGUAGCGGUGAAAUGCGUAGAUAUCUGGAGGAACACCGGUGGCGAAGGCGGCAUCCUGGACCAACACUGACGCUGAGUGAGCGAAAGCCAGGGGAGCAAACGGG
rnacentral:rRNA from 1 species